UAAUUGUUUUUUUUUUUUAUUUCCAGUUACAUGGUUUAAUUCUAUAAAUAUUUUGACGUGUUUUUGCCAUUUUUAUAUAUAUUUUCAGAUAUGUCCCAAUCUGGUUGCCAACCACUGUGUUGCACACCGACUUGUAUUAGCCAGUGCUCAAACAGCAAAAGAGAUUGAACCCAUAAAGCAAUUCAACUAUCUUCUGCAACAGAUAUACAAAUCUUACGAUAACAGUGAUGUUAACCUAUUUGUAGCCUGGAGCCCGGACUUUGCUAGGAGACAAAAACAAAGCCUGAAUGUUAAUGCCGAGGUGUACAUUGUUCAUAUUUGGCACAAAGAUACACCUCAACACUUCCAUGUAAAAUGACCGAAAAGCUGCAUGUGACUUGACUCUUGGAGUUCAGAGGCUUUUUGGCAAGCGAUGGGGAAAAUGCGACUUUUUAUUGCGAAUAUAUUAAAAACGGUCACUGGCUGCUCACUUCACCAACAAAGUGGAAGAGGAUGAAGUUAAACUGGAGUGAAGUAGAUUUCUGCCAUUCCUCCACAGAAAGAAAAACAAAGGAGAAACUGUUGAUGACAUUUUGGCAUUCCUGGUAUCUGACAACAACCAGCCACAGUUGCAGACUCUUGCAAAGAUUUGUCUGGUCUUACCAAUGUCCACAGCUGAUUGUGAGAGAGGAUAUUUUGCACUCAAACAAAUCAAGACAUGACUGAGGAAUUGAUUAUCACAAAGCAUUUUCAACAAUCUCAAGCUAGUGUCUGUUGAAUGAGAAGAGGAGACAUUCAACCUUGACGCUGUGCACAGAUGGCAUGCCAAGGGAAAUAGGAAGAUUGAUUUUUGUGUGUGAAUGGACUAUAAGGAGCAACCCACAUUACUAAUUAAUGUAUAUAAAAGUGUUUUAACCAACA
rnacentral:lncRNA from 1 species